rnacentral:rRNA from 1 species
AAAGAUGAGACUUCCCACUACAUUAAGUAGGUAAGACCCCAGGAAGAUGACCUGGUUGAUCGGCUCGAGAUGGAAGCGCUGUGAGGCGUGUAGUUGACGAGUACGAAUCGGUCGAGGACUUAACCUA